rnacentral:rRNA from 1 species
GACGAACGCUGGCGGCGUGCUUAACACAUGCAAGUCGACGACGCUACUGAGUAGCAAUAUUUAGUAGUGGAGUGGCGCAAGGGUGAGUAAUGUAUACGUAACCAACCCAUCGGAGAUGGAUAACAUUUCGAAAGGGAUGCUAAAACGGCAUGAAGCCACGAUUUCGCAUGAGAUUGUGGUUAAAGAACCGGUAACAGGUUGCCGAUGGCUGGGCGUAUAUCCGAUUAGCUAGUUGGUAGUGUAAUGGACUACCAAGGCGACGAUCGGUAGCUGGUCUGAGAGGAUGAUCAGCCACACUGGCACUGAGACACGGGCCAGACUCCUACGGGAGGCAGCAGUGGGGAAUAUUGGGCAAUGCCCGCAAGGGUGACCCAGCAACGCCGCGUGGAGGAUGAAGGCCGUAAGGUUGUAAACUCUGACAAGCAGGGAAGAACGGCUAUGGUAAAAGGCCAUAGAAUGACGGUACCUGCCUGAAGCCCCGGCUAACUACGUG